rnacentral:rRNA from 1 species
UGGGGAAUAUUGCACAAUGGGCGAAAGCCUGAUGCAGCAACGCCGCGUGCGGGAUGACGGCCUUCGGGUUGUAAACCGCUUUCAGCUCCGACGAAGCGCAAGUGACGGUAGGAGCAGAAGAAGGACCGGCCAACUACGUGCCAGCAGCCGCGGUGAUACGUAGGGUCCGAGCGUUGUCCGGAAUUAUUGGGCGUAAAGGGCUUGUAGGCGGUUUGUCGCGUCGGAAGUGGAAACUCAGGGCUUAACCCUGAGCCUGCUUCCGAUACGGGCAAACUAGAGGAAUGCAGGGGAGAAUGGAAUUCCUGGUGGAGCGGUGGAAUGCGCAGAUAUCAGGAGGAACACCAGUGGCGAAGGCGGUUCUCUGGGCAUUUCCUGACGCUGAGAAGCGAAAGCGUGGGGAGCAAACAGGCUUAGAUACCCUGGUAGUCCACGCCGUAAACGGUGGGCACUAGGUGUGGGACUCAUUCCACGAGUUCCGUGCCGUAGCUAACGCAUUAA